rnacentral:misc_RNA from 1 species
AAAUGUAGCAGGAUGAGCACCACCCCUGGACCAGUCCACAAAAGUAAGGCUUCUGUUUGCCAGAAGAUUUGGCGACUCAAUGCUCAACAUUGUUUGGAAGUAGUGUUCGUCGACAUAACAAGCUGGUCUGCAAAACUCUUUAAACAAACGGUAGUACGCUUUAUCUUUAACUAUCUUCACGGCAAGUUCACGAUUGACUUCAAACCAUUGAUAACCCUUGCGCCAAUCAGUGAGGUUAAUCUCAGGUGCCAUGUUCCUAUUGUAGCGUCCUCUUCCAUAGGGUCCUUG